AGCUUUGUGCAGUGGCAGUAUCGUAGCCAAUGAGGUUUAUCCGAGGCGCGAUUAUUGCUACUUGAAAAUAAGCCAGUCAGAGAAAGACAAAUACCGUGUGAUUUCACUUAUAUGUGGAAUUUAAGAAACAAAACAAAU